rnacentral:rRNA from 1 species
UACGGGGGGAGCAAGCGUUGUUCGGAUUUACUGGGCGUAAAGGGCGCGUAGGCGGUCGGUGACAAGUCACUUGUGAAAUCUCCGGGCUUAACUCGGAACGGUCAAGUGAUACUGUCGGACUAGAGUACAGAAGGGGCAACUGGAAUUCUCGGUGUAGCGGUGAAAUGCGUAGAUAUCUGGAGGAACACCGGGUGGCGAAGGCGACAUCCUGGACCGGUAUUGACGCUGAGGCGCGAAAGCCAGGGGAGCAAAGCGGGG